UACGUAGGGUCCGAGCGUUGUCCGGAAUUAUUGGGCGUAAAGGGCUCGUAGGCGGUUCGUCACGUCGGGAGUGAAAACUCGGGGCUUAACCCCGAGCCUGCUUCCGAUACGGGCAGACUAGAGGUAGGCAGGGGAGAGCGGAACUCCUGGUGUAGCGGUGAAAUGCGCAGAUAUCAGGAGGAACACCGGUGGCGAAGGCGGGUCUCUGGGCCGUAACUGACGCUGAGGAGCGAAAGCGUGGGGAGCGAACAGG
rnacentral:rRNA from 1 species